ensembl:lncRNA
UCUUGGUCUAUAAAUAUUGUGAUGGUUUUUAGUCUAAAAUGCAAGGACAACCCCUCCAGGGUUGUUAUUCCAUUCUGAUGAGGUUUUAUAACUGGUUUGAAUUUAAUACAUUGUGUUCUAUUCAAAACCAGCAAUGUAGCCUGACUGUGAUUUUGUUAGAAUGAUCCUCAAUACAGGUUUUAUGAGAUCUCCUUACUGUUAUGUGCAGAUGAUUACUUAGAAAAAUCUGUCUGUCUGUUGCAGGAAAUGAGAUAAGUGGACACAGGAAGACUCUCAUGGAAAAUAAAAAACACCUUUGUCAUUCAACGUUCCUUUGAUGCCUCCUGUUUUCUUUCUUCCUUCGAAGCAAACAGUUAAAUAAUGUGUAAAAGAGAAGACCAGUGUACAAAGAACAAUUAAAAACAACAGACUUUCAUCCCUUUUCUGAUAUUAUCAUUAUUUAUGAUUAUUUGGGCUUGUCCCACAUUCAUUGUACAUAGCCAUCUCUGUACUGUUUUUACAUGAGCUCUAGUUACAGGGAAAGAAAAAGUAUAUUGUAUUUAUAAGGGAAAACACAAAUGUAAAAAAUUUUCAUUAUAAAAUGUACAUGUCAUGAAUGUGCCAACCUCUUUUUGUAUAAAUAUAUACUGUUGGGAAAGCAUAAAGACUAUUGCACUCUUGUUGUGGAGGAGAAACAACAAAAAAUAUGAAGCACAAUGUGUGUUGUUGUCAGACGGCCAGCCGGACAGCUAAACUGCAGUGGUCUUCGUCCUCUCAGGGCGCCUCUGCCUGUCUUUUGGAUCCUUAUUGCCUGUGGUCCGAUGAGAAUGUUGUUCUUUUCUACGUUUUUUUUAUUUCAUUUUUUACAAAGAAAGCUUGUUGUGAACCAAUGGUUAGAUGAAAUGGUGAAAAGAUUGUAACUGUCACUUGAGGGAGUGUUGCUGCGAUUACGCGAUGACUUGCGUACUCUGUUCAAAAAACCAAAAUGUUCUGUCGACUAACUUUGGAAGUCUUGUUGUUUUGUUAAAAUAAAAUGCAUUUGUUGAACAAUA